AUACUUACCUGGUAGGGAAGACAUUAUGAUCUUGAAGAUAGAGGCAAAAAAAAAAAAAGUUUUUCCAGGGUGAGGUUCAUCCCUCACACUCUGGCUGUGCUGAUUCCUGCGAUUUCCCUACAUGCAGGAAACUUGACUGUGGAAUUUGUGGUAGUGGGGGACUGCAUCUGUAAUCUUCCG
rnacentral:snRNA from 1 species